UACAGAGGUCCCAAGCGUUGUUCGGAUUCAUUGGGCGUAAAGGGUGCGUAGGCGGCGCGGUAAGUCGGGUGUGAAAUCUCGGGGCUUAACCUGGGAACUGCAUCCGAUACUGGAUGGCUUGAAUUCGGGAGAGGGAUGCAGAAUUCCAGGUGUAGCGGUGAAAUGCGUAGAUAUCUGGAGGAAUACCGGUGGCGAAGGCGGCAUCCUGGACCGACAUUGACGCUGAACGGCGAAAGCUAGGGGAGCAAACGGG
rnacentral:rRNA from 1 species